rnacentral:rRNA from 2 species
UAAGCCAUGCAAGUCUAAGUUUAAGCACCUAAACGGCGAAACUGCGAAUGGCUCAUUAAAUCAGUUAUCGUAUAUUUGAUAGUACCUACUACAUGGAUAACCGUGGUAAUUCUAGAGCUAAUACAUGCUUAAAAUCCCGACUUCGGAAGGGAUGUAUUUAUUAGAUUAAAAACCAAUGCCCUUCGGGGCUCACUGGUGAUUCAUAAUAACUUCUCGAAUCGCAUGGCCUUGUGCCGGCGAUGGUUCAUUCAAAUUUCUGCCCUAUCAACUUUCGACGGCUGGGUCUUGGCCAGCCGUGGUUACAACGGGUAACGGAGGGUUAGGGCUUGACCCCGGAGAAGGAGCCUGAGAAACGGCUACUACAUCCAAGGAAGGCAGCAGGCGCGCAAAUUACCCAAUCCCGAUACGGGGAGGUAGUGACAAUAAAUACUGAUACAGGGCUCUUUUGGGUCUUGUAAUUGGAAUGAGUACAAUUUAAAUCCCUUAACGAGGAACAAUUGGAGGGCAAGUCUGGUGCCAGCAGCCGCGGUAAUUCCAGCUCCAAUAGCGUAUAUUAAAGUUGUUGCAGUUAAAAAGCUCGUAGUUGAACCUUGGGCCUGGCUGGCCGUCUGCCUCACCGCAUGCACUGGUCCGGCCGGGCCUUUCCCUCUGGGGAGCCGCAUGCCCUUCACUGGGUGUGUCGGGGAACCAGGACUUUUACUGUGAAAAAAUUAGAGUGUUCAAAGCAGGCCUAUGCUCGAAUACAUUAGCAUGGAAUAAUAGAAUAGGACGUUGUGGUUCUAUUUUGUUGGUUUCUAGGACCGCCGUAAUGAUUAAUAGGGACAGUCGGGGGCAUCAGUAUUCAAUCGUCAGAGGUGAAAUUCUUGGAUCGAUUGAAGACUAACUACUGCGAAAGCAUUUGCCAAGGAUGUUUUCAUUAAUCAGGAACGAAAGUUAGGGGAUCGAAAACGAUCAGAUACCGUUGUAGUCUUAACCAUAAACUAUGCCGACUAGGGAUCGGGCGAUGUUAUUCUUUGACUCGCUCGGCACCUUACACGAAAGUAAAGUUUUUGGGUUCUGGGGGGAGUAUGGUCGCAAGGCUGAAACUUAAAGAAAUUGACGGAAGGGCACCACCAGGGGUGGAGCCUGCGGCUUAAUUUGACUCAACACGGGGAAACUCACCAGGUCCAGACACAACUAGGAUUGACAGAUUGAGAGCUCUUUCUUGAUUUUGUGGGUGGUGGUGCAUGGCCGUUCUUAGUUGGUGGAGUGAUUUGUCUGCUUAAUUGCGAUAACGAACGAGACCUUAACCUGCUAAAUAGCCCGCGCCGCUCAGGCGGCACGCUGGCUUCUUAGAGGGACUAUCGGCUCAAGCCGAUGGAAGUUUGAGGCAAUAACAGGUU